GCACCGGUAGCUCAGUUGGAUAGAGCACUAGACUACGAAUCUAGGGGUCGGGAGUUCGAAUCUCUCCCGGUGCACCA
rnacentral:tRNA from 1 species